CAUGUACUCCCUCCGUCUGGAAAUACUUGUCAUCAAAAUGGAUAAAAGGAGAUGUAUCUAGACGUAUUUUAGUUCUAGAUCAUCCUUUUUUGUCCAUUUUGAUGACAAGUAUUUUCGGACGGAGGGAGUAUAUU
rfam:Triticum urartu cultivar G1812 contig555303, whole genome shotgun sequence.